rnacentral:rRNA from 1 species
UACGGAGGGUGCGAGCGUUGUCCGGAAUCACUGGGCGUAAAGGGCGCGUAGGCGGCCUUCUAAGUCAGACGUGAAAUCCCCCGGCUUAACCUGGGAACUGCGUCUGAUACUGGGAGGCUAGAGUACGGGAGAGGAAAGUGGAAUUCCUGGUGUAGCGGUGAAAUGCGUAGAUAUUGGGAGGAACACCGGUGGCGAAGGCGGCUCUCUGGACCGGUACUGACGCUGAGGCGCGACAGCGUGGGGAGCAAACAGG